rnacentral:rRNA from 1 species
UACGGAGGGUGCGAGCGUUAAUCGGAAUAACUGGGCGUAAAGGGCACGCAGGCGGGCUUUUAAGUGAUAUGUGAAAUCCCCGGGCUUCACCUGGGAAUAGCAUUUCAGACUGGGAGUCUAGAGUACUUUAGGGAGGGGUAGAAUUCCACGUGUAGCGGUGACAUGCGUAGAGAUGUGGAGGAAUACCGAAGGCGAAGGCAGCCCCUUGGGAAUGUACUGAGGCUCAUGUGGGAAAGCGUGGGGAGCAAACAGG